rnacentral:rRNA from 1 species
UCGACGAGUUCUCGUUGAUGAUCGGUGCUUGCACCGAGAUUCAACAUGGAACGAGUGGCGGACGGGUGAGUAACACGUGGGUAACCUGCCCUUAAGUGGGGGAUAACAUUUGGAAACAGAUGCUAAUACCGCAUAGAUCCAAGAACCGCAUGGUUCUUGGCUGAAAGAUGGCGUAAGCUAUCGCUUUUGGAUGGACCCGCGGCGUAUUAGCUAGUUGGUGAGGUAAUGGCUCACCAAGGCGAUGAUACGUAGCCGAACUGAGAGGUUGAUCGGCCACAUUGGGACUGAGACACGGCCCAAACUCCUACGGGAGGGGGCACGAGGGAAUCUUCCACAAUGGACGCAAGUCUGAUGGAGCAACGCCGCGUGAGUGAAGAAGGCUUUCGGGUCGUAAAACUCUGUUGUUGGAGAAGAAUGGUCGGCAGAGUAACUGUUGUCGGCGUGACGGUAUCCAACCACAAAGCCACGGCUAACUACGUGCCAGCAGCCGCGGUAAUACGUAGGUGGCAAGCGUUAUCCGGAUUUAUUGGGCGUAAAGCGAGCGCAGGCGGUUUUUUAAGUCUGAUGUGAAAGCCCUCGGCUUAACCGAGGAAGCGCAUCGGAAACUGGGAAACUUGAGUGCAGAAGAGGACAGUGGAACUCCAUGUGUAGCGGUGAAAUGCGUAGAUAUAUGGAAG